rnacentral:lncRNA from 1 species
GAACAUAGGAGUUUCCAAAACCUGGUUACCUUAGCUUAUUUGAUUCAUGGACAUUUUGAUCUUACUGUCAAGGUCUUUAAAUCACCACCAGGGGGCCCUGAAAGCAUUUCUGUCUGAUUUCAAGGACCACAGUCUCUAAUGACAAGUACAACUGAUAAACUAUCCCUAGUGCAAAUGAGAGGGGUGCCUCAGUCCUCAUUUAAAGUUUGGAUUUUUCCUACAGACAUUUUCACUCAAAAUGCAGCAGCCUAAGUGGCUUUGAUGUACUCCGAGUUUUAUCAAUUUUUUUUACUGUAAUAUUCAAUAAUCUUUUAUGCUUUUACUGCUUCUUUUUUUUUUCUUUCUUUGAGACAGGGUCUUGUUUUGACACUUAGGCUGGAGUAUAGUGGCAUGAUCAUGGUUCACUGCAGCCUUGACCUCCUGGGCUCAAGUGAUUCUCCCGUCUCAGCCUGCUGAGUCUCUAGGACCACAGGUGAUUCUGACAUGCAAACAAGCCUCUGGGCCAAAGUUCCUGUGUCCAAGGAUUAAAAAAAAAAUGGAGCAUAAGUCUGAGGCUGUGAACGAGGCUCCUCCUGCCCUCUGGAGCUUGCUGGAAGGAAACACAGCCCAAGAAGUGGACUAAAGAGUUGUUCCAACACCACUGCCUACAAGAUGAACUGCUUCCAAAUGAUGAUAGAGGAAAAACUUUCAGGCUGAUAACAUCACAUCAUAGCCCAUGCCAGUGAAAAUCUUUCAACAGGAAGAGUGAAGAAGAGAGAAAAGGUCAAAAGACUGUUUUACUUCACGAAUUUCUGACUUGCUUAAGUAACAACCUUAGUGGGAAAAUGCCAGUGGAAUUUCAUGAGUAUGACUGGCAGUGCCUGCGAGGAGGAGAGCUGCGAGGAGGAGAAGGAUGAGAUACUUUUGGUUAGAUGCAGAAAUAGCAGCUCAGAGAGGCAAGUGACCUGCCCAAGGCCCCAGGAACCAGGUCUAGAGGGACCCUGGUGUGUCUUUGCCUGAGAGAUGGAGCUGUCUGUUCCCGGCAUGGCCUGGAGGGGAAGAAGACCGUGGAAGGGAGAGGGCAGGGAGCUGCCUCACCUGCUAACUCUUCUCGAUUGAACCAGCUCUUCGCUUGGGAAUUUGACUGCAAUAUGACUUCUCAGGACACCAGACAUCCUAGCCUUAAAGAGGGCACAGGUACAUUUUCCUAGGCCAAAUUAAUAUGGAUUUUGAAUUAUCUCCUGUUGUUCAGAAAGAUCCUCCCUGCAUUGGUGGUUUUGACAUUUCCCAGGCUCCAAGAGCCAUGGAUCUCCUCUGAGAGCUGCACUGGAGAAGGUUCUGAAAGUCUUCUUUACAUCUCUAACCAGACAGGUCCUUAGGAAACUCCUCCAGCAAGCACUGACCCCUUCACAGCCAGUCCUGUGUCGGACUCUGAGGUAAAGACACCACCCAGUUGCUGCCCUCAGAAUCAACCUAGCCCUUGCUUCUCUCACAAGAGUGAAACUUGGAGGCAUUAAUAUAUAUUUUUGUUCUGCAAAACUUUAAAGAAUAAAACAUUAGAAAUAAAACUAUAACAAUCAUCCAUGUGCCUGCCACCCAGAUUUAUUGUUUUUUAAAGAAGUAAAACAUAAAUAUAGUUAAAAUUCCUUGUGUAUCCCUCCCAGUCCCAAUCCUCCCUCAGAGGCAAGCACUGUGGUGAAGCUUGUUACUGUUCUACAUGUAUUUCACAGUUUUAUUAUAUAUUCAUAUGCACAUAGCACAUAAACUUAAAAGACAUAAACUCAUACUGUAUAUAAAUUAAAUUUUACACUUAAUAUAAAUAUAAUUUAUAUAUUACACAUUACAAAAAGUUGUUUAUGUACUGCAUAAGCUUUACAUUUAAAUAUUAUACUUAGUCAAAAAUAAACUAUAUAUUUACAUAAAUAUAAACUAACAUUUAUAUACCGUAUGUCUAACAUUAACGUUUAUACUGUGUAUAGUGUGUAUAAAUUAAAAUGUACAAAAUUAGCUUCAAACCCUUCACAUAAUGAUGGUCUAACUUGCCUUUUGUCCAACACAAUAUAUUUUUAUUUCUAUUCAUUUUGAUGCAUCUUGAUUCCCUUCAUUCAUUCCAACUGCAGUGGAGUUUUCCAUUAUUGGAAUAUGUCACAAAUAAUUUAUGACUGUCCUAUGAUUUGCAAAGUACACUUGUUUGAAAUUUCCUAUGACUACAAACAAUGCUGCCACACAUUCUGUGGCUGUUUUCUUGUGUACACAUGCGAGUGAUUUUAGGACAGAUACAUAGAAGUGGAUGCUUCCCCUUUACCAGGUAUUGUCAGUUGUUUUUAAAAGAUGUCUGCGUGUGCACUGUCACACCAGCAGCAUAAGAGGCUCCUAUUUCUCUGCAUUCUUGCUGCCACCAGGCCAUGUUGAUCUUGAACUUUGUUGUUAAUUGGAUGGAAGUGAAAUGGUAUCUCAUUGGUGUUUCACUUGUUUCCCGACUAUUCAUGAAGUUGACAAUCUUUUCAUGGAUAUUGACCCUCCGGGUUUCUGCUUCUGUGAAAUGCCUUUUCAUAGUUUUUGCCUAUUUUUCUCUCUUGGGUUAUUUAUCUUUCCCUUAUUAAUCUGUAGGAGUUCUUAAAAUAUUCAGGUUUUUAAUCCUUUGUUGGUUGUGAGCAUUCACCAUGCUUCUCCUGGUCUGUGACUUGUCUUUGAAUUUUGUUUAUAAUGU